AAAGCUAAUUUUCAAUCUGUCAUGUUUGCUUUCUUCUCCUCACCAGGUUCCAACCCGGCAAACAAAACUGCUUCAACGGAAAGAAAAAGAAAAAAAAUGUAGGUACUCUGAUUUAAAGUACUGACAGCAAAAAAUCCCAACGACGAGACGAGAUCUGAUGAAAGAAAAACUAAUUUUCGAACCGAACCUCGCCGCAACCCAUCAACCCACCAGAACCAUCCUAGGAGGCCGUUCCGGGAUGCUCACCCUCCCCGUGGGGAAAGGUUAGGUCAGACCUGAAGCAGCAGCAACUACGAGAAAUUGAAGCAGCAAAAAAAAAAACGAACCGUACUCGAUAGUCCAUCAAAAGGUCACGUUGCAGUUCAGAACUUGGAAAAAGGAAAUUAACACUGGUCAGGAUUUUCAACUGCAAGGGACGGGUCGAUGCCGGCGCGCGGGGUCGGUUGGCCACUUCCGGAAGGGCUCAGCUCUGUGACGGGUGAGAGGUGGUACGUGUUGCACAAAUUAACUAGACGAGCGACCACAGCCAAGUUGCGCAGAGGCCACAACAGAGCGGCACGGAGAGCAAGAAAAAAGUCAGAAACACGGUGAAAAAAGUGGCUUUUCCAUUGGCCGGACGAGAGGAGCCGCCCAGGCGAUGUCAACUCUGGCGAUGGCGAGGCACCCGUGGUUGUGUGGUCAUCGUCGUCACGGCCAAAGGCCGGACCGGAUUCCAGCGGAGCUUAACAAGAAACAUUCCCAGCCCAAAGACUAACGCGCAAAUCAACGAGGAAAAGCUUGAGGAAAGACAAACACAAAACCAACCGAAAUCAAUCAAAUCGAAAACAAACAAACUAGUAGCAGACCUUCAACUUCUGGGCCCGAGGUGGAAGGUCCAUCUUGGAUUUGUUAUUUGUUUUCGAAGGAAUCGAAACAGCAUUAGGCAGCUUUCGGCAAAGUAAAGAAAAAGUGAGGGAAAAAAUCAGCCAAAUUUGAACAUGUAAUUCCUCGUUAGGCGAAAUCAAACAAAAUCAAUUUAUUACCUGUGUACAGAGAAGAAGAAAAAGUUUAGCAAAAACAAAUGAAUCGCUUAUAGUUGAUAUACUCUUAGCUUGACUGAUUAUGAAAAAAGAAAACUAGCAUUUAAGUGCGUUACACCUUAAGAUCGAGUUCAAUUUCCAGCCACAUGUGGAUUAAAAGGUUUUAAAAUUGUUGUCAACUUGAGAUAAGAAAAAAGAAGCAUUUUCUAUUACAAAACAAAGGAAAACUAUCAAACUGUUGCGUGUUAAAUGUUUACAGCAAAACAAAAGACAACCAAAUUCGAAUCUGUAUCAAAUAAAGCAACAAAUUAGAUUGUACUAGCGGAAGAUGUGAGUUUAACAAAGAAUUUCUGUGAAUAAACAUUUUAAAAACAACGUUGUUACUAAGAGUGCAAGCUUUUGUACAUACUGAACGGUGAGCAGCAACUUAACGAAGCAAAUCGAACGAGUAGUCUAACGGCCAACAAAGAAAAACAAAAACAAAAAACAAUAGCUGAUAUUUAUCAAAUUUGUGCUAGGACGCAACUGUUAGACAAACAAAGUGACAAAUCUUUCAACUGAAAAAAAAAUCUCUCUACCUUAUUGUUAUAACUUUUUUUUUUGCGCUUCAAACUUCUGUCAAAUGCAGAUUGAAAGAAAUCUUUCCGUCUCAAUUUUCAUCGAGAGCGGGUGAAAUUUUUGAUUU